AGUGAACGCUGGCGGUAGGCCUAACACAUGCAAGUCGAACGGCAGCACAGUAAGAGCUUGCUCUUACGGGUGGCGAGUGGCGGACGGGUGAGGAAUACAUCGGAAUCUACUUUUUCGUGGGGGAUAACGUAGGGAAACUUACGCUAAUACCGCAUACGACCUACGGGUGAAAGCAGGGGAUCUUCGGACCUUGCGCGAUUGAAUGAGCCGAUGUCGGAUUAGCUAGUUGGCGGGGUAAAGGCCCACCAAGGCGACGAUCCGUAGCUGGUCUGAGAGGAUGAUCAGCCACACUGGAACUGAGACACGGUCCAGACUCCUACGGGAGGCAGCAGUGGGGAAUAUUGGACAAUGGGCGCAAGCCUGAUCCAGCCAUGCCGCGUGGGUGAAGAAGGCCUUCGGGUUGUAAAGCCCUUUUGUUGGGAAAGAAAAGCAGCAGGUUAAUACCCCGCUGUUCUGACGGUACCCUAAGAAUAAGCACCGGCUAACUUCGUG
rnacentral:rRNA from 1 species